rnacentral:rRNA from 1 species
UACGUAGGGCGCAAGCGUUGUCCGGAAUUAUUGGGCGUAAAGAGCUCGUAGGCGGCCUGUCGCGUCUGCUGUGAAAUCCCGGGGCUUAACCCCGGGCGUGCAGUGGAUACGGGCUGGCUGGAGGCAGGCAGGGGAGAACGGAAUUCCCGGUGUAGCGGUGAAAUGCGCAGAUAUCGGGAGGAACACCGGUGGCGAAGGCGGUUCUCUGGGCCUGUUCUGACGCUGAGGAGCGAAAGCGUGGGGAGCAAUCGGG